UAUUAGCUCAAAUGGUAGAGCAGUAUGCAGAAGUAUAGGGAUGUAGGUUCGAUUCCUACAUA
rnacentral:tRNA from 1 species